rnacentral:rRNA from 1 species
UACGUAGGUGACCAGCGUUGUCCGGAUUUACUGGGCGUAAAGAGCUCGUAGGCGGCUUGUUGCGUCAGCUGUGAAAACCCGCAGCUCAACUGUGGGCUUGCAGCUGAUACGGGCAGGCUUGAGUUCGGUAGGGGAGACUGGAAGUCCUGGUGUAGCGGUGAAAUGACGCAGAUAUCAGGAGGAGCACCGGUGGCGAAGGCGGGCCAACUGGACCAUUACUGACGCUGGAGGCGCGAAAGCGUGGGGAGCAAAACAGGAUUAGAAACCCC